GAAAACUCAAACCAGCUGUAGAUUAAAGUGAAUUAAUGCACCUUGUUGAAGUGAGCGAAUUCUCUGAUCUUGGCGGAUAUGUUAUUUUGAAACCAUCUGUAAAGGCUAUCUAUGCUCUUUUACUUCAGCACCAUCUUGGAAUUGGCGAUGACGUAUUGUAAAUUAGAAUGAAAAGGGAAACAGUGUUUUGAAAGCCUCUCAGCUGUUACAAACGCCAUCUUGGGUAAUUUUAUAGACAUAGAAUUUUAAAAUUUGUAAUAAGACUUUAC